UGCACAGUUUUCACUUAUUUGGCCAAUAAAUACCCCCGAUUUUCCACUUUUCACACUUUCACAGGCACUAAGAACACUUCCACAAGCCGCUUUUCACUUUUCCCAAGCUAAAAUAUCACAAUUUACAGAGAAAAUUGCAGAAACUAACAAAUACGUUGACUUCACAAGAGCUGGAAAAAGAAUGACAGAAAAAAACAUGUUCCUGCGACAUUCUUUUUCAAGCUCUUGCGUAAUCAACACGUUUCUUAUUUUUCGUCAAUUAUCUCUGUGAAUUGUGAUAUUUUAGCUCGGGAAAAGUGAAAAGCGGCUUGUGGAAGUGUUUUUAGUGCCUGUGAAGGUGUGAAAAGUGGAAAAUCGCGGGUAUUUUUUGGCCAAAUAAGUGAAAACAGUGAAGUUCGACAGCAAAACAUUCACUCCCGGACCAGUUUUUCGCGUUCAGGUGGGAUUCCACCACCCAGGAAGCAUUUCCCUGACCCCAGGCCGACCUUCCCUAUGCAGAUGACCUGUAGGAAGAUACAAAAAGCCCGCAAGAAGUGAUUUGUGUGGUCAAAAUAUAGAAAAGAAUCCCGUAAAAAUUGGUCAGGGAAAGAAUGUUUUGAUUUUUCACUUCGCGCAUUUUCACAUAUUUGGCCGCUAAAUGACCGUAAAUUUCCAUUUUCCACUGUUUUCCUGGCACUGUGGGCUCUUUAGCUAAGCAUUUUCCACUUUUCUUUGGGGAAAAUACCCCCAAAUCUUGAGAAAAUUCAAGGAAAUAAUAACAUGUUGUGCGCAAGAAAAAAAGCAUGCCACGAAAAAAGAUGUCGGAAACAUGCGUGAGAAAAAGACGAAAGAUAGGAAAAUACAUUAGUGGGAGUGAGAUAGAAUGACAAAAAAUGUCAGGAAAAAAUGUCAUGAUCAUUUUCUCUUGACAUUCUUUUCCUGCAUAGCACCAUUAAGCAUUUUCUUACAAAUUAGCCUUAAAAAUACCUCUAAAAAUGAAUCCCAAAACACCCCAUCUUACGCGAAUUAUCUGCAAUCUGGUGGAAGCACUCUCACCAGCAGCGAUGGAGACUUCAAUUAAAUCAACGAUGUGAGAUAAUUGCUCCGGCAACGGCUAGGGAUACUUUUUCGUGAACAUUUACGAUAAUAUGGGGAAAAGCUGCAUUUCAUCAAUUGUAACUCAUAGUAGUGCGAAUUUGUAAACUAAUCGUGGAUCUGUAUUGGUGAUGACCGUAACGGAGUUACAUCUUGAAUCUCUCUCAGCAGUCAUAAACACAUGAAUGCAGUGAACACGACGUGAAUCCAUAUUAUGUAGUGUAGAUACAGAAAAAUCAAUACGAGAUAUAAGAGCUUUCAUCCAUUCCGUAUCUCUGAAGAACUUGACAUCAUCACCCAAGCAGAUAGUUAUUUUUCUUUACAGGAAAACGAUGUAUUUAAUGAAUUGAUUUCCGUUUGUGCUAGGGUAAUUCCAUUUGGUCAGGAAAAUGCUCGCAUUUUGAUCAGAAGUAGUUUUACGUAAUUUUGCUUGAUGAUAAAUGGGUCAGUACGUUUUAUAUGGAAAAAUAAUUAAAUUCAUAAAAAUUAAUUUUUUCAUGUAUGGGGGUUAGCUUGUGAUCCAAUUGACAUGAAGGGUUAAUUAUUGAAAUGUGAAAUCUUGAAAAAUGUACAGUACAACCAAAAUUUUUAUUACCGUAAGAUGGGGUGUUUUGGGAUUCAUUUUUAGAGGUAUUUUUAAGGCUAAUUUGUAAGAAAAUGCUUAAGUCAGGAAAAUAUGAAAAAUGCUUAGAAAAAGAUUGAAAACAAUUAAUAAAAAUUUCGAGGUAAAUUGUGAUAUUUUUUUUUUACUUUAAAUUAUCAUAUUUUGUUGCUAAGAAAAAUUCAAAAUUUUUUUAAAAUAAAUUCAUAAAGUUGAAUAAAAUAAAAGAAUAAUAAUAAUAAAGUCUUUAUUCACAAGUUUACAAACAGCAGGGAAGUCUAGAUUUAUUUAAAUUCAUGA